rnacentral:rRNA from 1 species
GAUGAACGCUGGCGGCGUGCCUAAUACAUGCAAGUCGAGCGAACAGACGAGGAGCUUGCUCCUCUGACGUUAGCGGCGGACGGGUGAGUAACACGUGGAUAACCUACCUAUAAGACUGGGAUAACUUCGGGAAACCGGAGCUAAUACCGGAUAAUAUAUUGAACCGCAUGGUUCAAUAGUGAAAGACGGUUUUGCUGUCACUUAUAGAUGGAUCCGCGCCGCAUUAGCUAGUUGGUAAGGUAACGGCUUACCAAGGCAACGAUGCGUAGCCGACCUGAGAGGGAGAUCGGCCACACUGGAACUGAGAAACGGUCCCAACUCCUACGGGAAGCAGCAGUAGCGAAUCCUCCGCAAUGAGCGAAAGCCUGACGGAGAAACCCCGCGUGAGUGAUGAAGGUAUAGUGAUAGUAAAACUAUGUUAUUAGGGAAGAACAAAUGUGUAAGUAACUAUGCACAUCUUGACGGUACCUACUCAGAAAGCCACGGCUAAAUACGUG